rnacentral:rRNA from 1 species
GAUGAACGCUGGCGGCGUGCCUAAUACAUGCAAGUCGAGCGAACAGACGAGGAGCUUGCUCCUCUGACGUUAGCGGCGGACGGGGGAGUAACACGUGGAUAACCUACCUAUAAGACUGGGAUAACUUCGGGAAACCGGAGCUAAUACCGGAUAAUAUAUUGAACCGCAUGGUUCAAUAGGGAAAGACGGUUUUGCUGUCACUUAUAGAUGGAUCCGCGCCGCAUUAGCUAGUUGGUAAGGUAACGGCUUACCAAGGCAACGAUGCGUAGCCGACCUGAGAGGGUGAUCGGCCACACUGGAACUGAGACACGGUCCAGACUCCUACGGGAGGCAGCAGUAGGGAAUCUUCCGCAAUGGGCGAAAGCUUGACGGAGCAACGCCGCGUGAGUGAUGAAGGUCUUCGGAUCGUAAAACUCUGUUAUUAGGGAAGAACAAAUGUGUAAGUAACUAUGCACGUCUUGACGGUACCUAAUCAGAAAGCCACGGCUAACUACGUG